AGCAGCCGCGGUAAUUCCAGCUCCAAUAGCGUAUAUUAAAGUUGCUGCAGUUAAAAAGCUCGUAGUUGAAUUUCGGGACCAUCAUGUCGGUCGUGCCUCGGUACGUACUGGUAUUGUUGGUUUCUCCCUUCUGACGAACCAUGAUGUCAUUUAUUUGGUGUUGUGGGGAAUCAGGACUGUUACUUUGAAAAAAUUAGAGUGUUUAAAGCAGGCUCACGCUUGAAUACAUUAGCAUGGAAUAAUGAAAUAGGACGUUUGAUUCUAUUUUGUUGGUUUCUAGGAUCGACGUAGUGAUUAAUAGGGAUAGUUGGGGGCAUUAGUAUUCAAUUGUCAGAGGUGAAAUUCUUGGAUUUAUUGAAGACUAACUACUGCGAAAGCAUUUGCCAAGGAUGUUUUCAUUAAUCAAGAACGAAAGUUAGGGGAUCGAAGACGAUCAGAUACCGUCGUAGUCUUAACCAUAAACUAUGCCGACUAGGGAUCGGAUGAUGUUAAUUUUUAAUGACUCAUUCGGCGCCUUAAC
rnacentral:rRNA from 1 species